CGCUACUCAGAAUUAGAAAGCACAGAGUAUCCAAGAGAGAGAGAAGAGGAGAGAGAAAGAGAUAGUCUUGUAUGGUCAAAUGUUGUUAUAAAGCCUCUGAAACUUUGAGGACCAUUUCAACACACUCUAUCUCUCUAAGAACCUUGGGGUUUCUUUGUUUUGGGAUCACAAUAUUUUUUUAGGGCAAAUCAUUCCAGCCUCUCCAAUCGCCUCCAUCUCUAUACUCGUUCUCAACUCUGAACUUGCCCUCUCUCUCUCUCUCUCUGCAACUGCAAACAACAAAAUCUACAAGAAUCAGAAGUUCAAAACCCAUAUCGGCAUAUCAUUUCAGAUUGUUUAAAAAAUUCAAAACCCAUAUCUUUCAGUUUCCAUCGCCCGCUGUUCCAGUUCGGGUUCGCCGUUUGCAAGCUUCAGCCGCUGGCUCUCAACCCUCAAGCUUGCCCCCCUCUCUCUGCAACUGCUAACUUGGUUAGCAUCGGGCCUUCACAUUUAGCAAGAACAAGGUUCAAGAAACAUGUCUCCUCAGUCAUCAGGUCUCUUUUCUAAAAGAAGAGAGUUGAUGGGAAUGAGUGGAGUAGGGGAAAAAGUAAAUAAGGGUUGGCUAAGGAUUUGGGGAUUUUGAAUCUGCUGCUAGGGCUUGGUGUUGUGGGGCAGCAAUGGUCCUCCAACAGGAACACUGCAAAAAUUGAAAGGAAGAAAUUGUUCCUUCAGAAAAUGAAACUCCAACUCGUCUUUUGGAUCAAGUUGAAAAACUAGUUUAUUGAAAGGGGAGAGCUGCAAGUUGCCCGAGGAAGUUGUCAAUGCUUUGGCACAGUUGGUUCAUCAUGGUAUCCCAGUGGAGAGAUCGACCACUACAAAUUCUACUCAUGGGAUUGGGAUGGCAUUCCUUGGUUUGGCCACGUUGAUUGCAGCCUGGCUUGCCUUAGGUCUCCAGAUCCUUUCACAUUUGAGGGCUAUAACAGUGGCUGAAGAGCAAAGAAAGGCGGCCAAAGAAGAAUCCGAUCAUGCUAAACAAAUUCUAGCAGCUCACCAGAAAUCAUCAAAUGCGAUUCUGGGGCAUAGGCCGAAGGGGUCGCAUGAUUGAAGGAAGAAGGAUCCCAUCCUUUUUCCCAUCAUUUUACCGCCGCACUGAGUGACUUUUUGCUUUAUGUAUCUUUUGAAGAACAAAUUAUUGUCUGUUUGAUUUAUUUAUGCGUUGAAAUUUUAGCUUUAUGCAAAAACAAUUACUGUCUGAAUUCUGCAUCUUUUGGUUUGAUUUAUGGUGAACAUAUUGUCUGAA